rnacentral:lncRNA from 1 species
AACGAAGAGGACACUGGGGCAUUUAACUGCCAGUGCCCAGCAGUCGUAGUUGAGUCCUGCUGAUGAAACAGAAAACCUGCAACCUGCCCUGUUUGCAGGCAGAACAGACAGUUAAAUAUAUCAGCCAAGGAACAGCAGGGGCUGGUAGCUGAAGUUUGGACAGUCGAGCCCGUAAAUGAUUUAUUCCACUCUGUUAAGCUUCCUGAAUCACAGAGAAGUUGUCAGAAAGAUUUUAGCCUCCGCUAUAGGAAGUCCUGCCCACCUUCUCCAGAUCUCUGUUCUCAUAGUCCAUCCUCUGGUUCCAGGUGGAAGAAUUCUAAAAUCACACAAGAAAAUGUAAGAUAUCUUCCUCGAAUAUCAACAGAGAAGAACAGCAGCCACGUGGAUAAGGCAGAGUUUGGGAAAUCCUGGAUUCCCUUAUCAUAAAGCAUCUUACAGUAACCUCAGAAAUGCAGAAGUUACUUGUAAUGGUGCUGUAGACACUGUACGAGAAAGUUUCACCUUUAUGAUCUAAUUUAAUUCUCACAAAAACCCUGUUAGGUAGGGUGUUAUUAUUUAAAUUUAAAUCAGAGGAAAAUGUAACAGGAAUUCUGCAACUUACAGUCAAAGAGAUAAUAAACAGGAGCAUCUGUGGUUUGAAA